UACGGAGGGUGCAAGCGUUAUCCGGAUUCACUGGGUUUAAAGGGCUCGUAGGCGGUUUGUCACGUCGGGAGUGAAAACUCGGGGCUUAACCCCGAGCCUGCUUCCGAUACGGGCUGACUAGAGGUAUGCAGGGGAGAACGGAAUUCCUGGUGUAGCGGUGAAAUGCGUAGAUAUCAAGAGGAACACCUGCGGCGAAGGCGGGUUGCUGGGCCGCCACUGACGCUGAGGCGCGAAAGCCAGGGGAGCGAACGGG
rnacentral:rRNA from 1 species